CAUGGUUGUCGUCAGCUCGUGUCGUGAGAUGUGGUUAAGUCCCGCAACGAGCGCACCCUAUUGCUAGUUACCAUCAUUAAGUUGGGGACUCUAGCGAGACUGCCAGUGAUAAACUGGAGGAAGGUGGGGAUGACGUCAAAUCAUCAUGCCCCUUAUGACCUGGGCUACAAACGUGAUACAAUGGCUGGAACAAAGGGAUGCGAAGCAGUGAUGUGGAGCGAAACCCAUAAAAACAGUCUCAGUUCGGAUUGAAGUCUGCAACUCGACUUCAUGAAGUCGGAAUCGCUAGUAAUCGCGGAUCAGAACGCCGCGGUGGAUACGUUCUCGGGGUUU
rnacentral:rRNA from 1 species